rnacentral:rRNA from 1 species
GACGUAGGAGGCGAGCGUUGUCCGGAUUCAUUGGGCGUAAAGAGCACGCAGGCGGUUUGGCAAGUCGGACGUGAAAAUCCGGGGCUCAACCCCGGACCUGCAUCCGAAACUGCCCGACUAGAGGUAGGUAGGGGAGAUCGGAAUUCCUGGUGUAGCGGUGAAAUGCGCAGAUAUCAGGAGGAACACCGGUGGCGAAGGCGGAUCUCUGGGCCGAUACUGACGCUGAGGAGCGAAAGCGUGGGGAGCGAACAGG